AACGAACGCUGGCGGCAUGCCUAACACAUGCAAGUCGAACGAGACCUUCGGGUCUAGUGGCGCACGGGUGCGUAACGCGUGGGAACCUGCCCUUAGGUUCGGAAUAACUCCCCGAAAGGGGUGCUAAUACCGGAUAAUGUCUUCGGACCAAAGAUUUAUCGCCUUUGGAUGGGCCCGCGUUGGAUUAGCUAGUUGGUAGGGUAAAAGCCUACCAAGGCGACGAUCCAUAGCUGGUCUGAGAGGAUGAUCAGCCACACUGGGACUGAGACACGGCCCAGAAUCCUACGGGAGGCAGCAGUGGGGAAUAUUGGACAAUGGGCGAAAGCCUGAUCCAGCAAUGCCGCGUGAGUGAUGAAGGCCUUAGGGUUGUAAAGCUCUUUUACCCGGGAUGAUAAUGACAGUACCGGGAGAAUAAGCUCCAGCUAACUCCGUG
rnacentral:rRNA from 1 species